GGGGACGAUACGGCUUCGACGGGAGUAUUGACGUCCCAGAUGCAUGUCGAGGUGCCAUAGGCCUCGUAAAAAAAUGGCAACUAGUAAUUGGCAACGAUUACGCACUCGCAGCUUAAUUAAUUCGUUAAUCUAAGCUACGCGUUCUACCCGGUUUCGCCCACGGAUUGGGAUAGAACGUCAUUUAGUGGGCUAGCCUUUCAGGUAUCGCAGGCGCCUGAGAGGCGAACCAAUGGUCGGCGGAGGGUCAGCGUAGUUUGUUCGUGGACGCCACUGACUCAAUCAAAAACACGAAACACACAUGUAGAUUCUGGCGAUUGAUUGCUUUCGGACGCGGGUUCAACUCCCGCCGUCUCCACCA
rnacentral:tmRNA from 4 species